GGCCCAUGCUGCCCCCUCUGGGGCUACUUCAGUCAUGGCUGUCCCACUCUCUGGUUCCCCUGUCCCACUCUCUGGUUCCCCUGUCCCAUCUACUAAUAUUCCAGGGUUGCUCCCCCCUACUGUGCGUCCUCCAGCACCUGGGAUGGGUGGGCAGGGUUUUUUCUCACCUGUCCUGUCUUCACAGAUUCUUCCAGGUCAGCUCGCGAACCGGUUCCCUGACGCUGUGUCUGGUGCGGUGCUUCCUGCGGUCGCAGUUCCCUCGGGGCCGU